GCAGGGAAGGGACAGUUGAUUGACACUUCUCUAGACUUGGUCACAUUUCAAGGACCAUCUGCUAUGGCAGGCUUGUGUGAUGGGAACAGCACUUCUCCAAACAGUGUGGUUGUUUUGUGUUCUUUAGUUGCAUUCCUUGGUGGCAAAAUCUAGAGAUAAAGGCGUGCCAGUAUACCCUGGGGAUUCUAAGAGGAACCCCACUCCCAUAGAAUACAUCCCUCAGCACUGGAAGUGGAAGUUAGUACUUGUGACCCAUGAUCCUUUUCCUUGGUGCUACUUUUUAGCUGGUUUUAUUUAGGAAAGCCAUUGAUUUUGGUUAGCCAAAUGUUUUCAAUGAAAGAGUAACAGUUUAUUUCCCAUGGUGACACAUUUGUAAUGGAGUCAUGAGUAGAAUAUUAUCGAUUUUUUGUUUUGUCUCUCAGUUUAAAACUGCAGAAUCUUUUUUUUUUUUGCUUGUUUCAGGCUAUCUUGACAUAUAGAAUGAAAAGUAGCUUCUUUAAAAGUUGUUAGAAAUCUUUGUUAUUGUUCUUUGCAGUGUUGAGGGUAGGACCCAGUGCUUUGAGCAUAUUAGGCAUUGAAUAUCAUCUCUAGUCCCUAGAAAUGUUUCUGUAUUUUCAGAAUCCGUCCUGAGUGUCUUAGGAUCCCUUUUUAUCCGUGAAGUAUAUCUCCCCACUAUGCACUGGAGACAAGUCAAAGAAGUGUCCUUGCAUUUGAAGUGUGGCACUGGAUCAAAAGAUUAAUGGCACUUUUUUUUGUCAGUCAUGGUGCUUGAACUCAGUGCCUGGGCACUAUAUUAGUUACAGAGCCACUUCUGGUUUUCUGGUGGGUAAUUGGAGAUAAAAGUCUCACAGACUUUCCUGUGUGUAGCUUCAAACCAUGAUCCUCAGCUCUCAGCCUCCUGAGUAGCUAUCAUUACAGGCAUGAGCCACCAGUGCCCAGCUAAUAACACUUUCUAUAGGUUAUUACUGUAGGAUAUUUUGGCCAAUUUUAGAUUGCUAUGUUAACUUUAAUUUGCCUUACUUCAGUCUUUUAAUGUAAACAAUGAAUUCUUAAAAGACUUGCAAGAUGAGAACUGUUAAGAGAAAAGGAAGUGGAAUGCAAGUAUCAUUAUGACAGGCCAUGCAAUGCUGAAACUACAUAGGCUCUGUGAGGAGAGUACCAUCUAGAAAAUAUAUAUUGGUUUAUGGUGAUUGCAUCUUAAGUAAAAUCUUCUGAUUGGUCAUGGAUUGAUGAAAUGAACUCUGCCUGCUGUGUGUGUGCACAUCAUCACAUUAUUAAAAUUCUGGGGGCAUUCAAAAAUUCCGUAAACACCCACAAAAAUAUUUCUAGAAGGUAGGAAUGUAGGUAUAUGUGCAUGCACACACAUAUAUACACAUAUGUACACUACACACAUAUACACAUAUGUACAUACACAUUUAUAUAUGUGGGUGGAUCCACAGUUAAAAAAUCAAUCAUUUCAAGCUGGGCACUAGGAGCUCCUGCCUGUAAUCUUAGCUACUCAGGAGGCUGAGAUCUGAGAAUUGUGGUUCAAAGUCAGGUCCUUCAGGAAAGUCUUUGAGAGUCUUAUCUCCAGUUAAUCACUACAAAGCCGGAAGUGGAGCUGUGGCUCAAGUGGUAGAGUACACUAGCCUUGAGCACAAAAGCUCAUGGACAGUACCCAGGCCCUGAGUUCUAGCUUCAGGACCAACAUAAUAAAAAAAUUAAUCAUUCUAGCUUUUGGAUUACUAAUUACUUGGGACUAAAAUUCCUUCUCAAUUUUACUUCAUUUGCUAAAUAAAUAAAAAAUUUCUGUAAAAAUCUCUAUUUAGUGUGAUAGGAGAAUUUUUGUGUAGAUUUGUACCCCUAAAUCAUUGAGGCCAUCCCAGAGUGCAUCUUAUAGAUAUGUGGAGAAAUAAAAAUCAAGAAAAUUGAAGAUGUCAGGCAUUGCCACCCAUUAGGCAAUUGGGUUAAAAAUAGAUGUGUUCAUGCAUCAGCAGAUGGAUUCACAUCCAGAUGACUGGAUUCAGAAUUCAGCCAUGCAGUUUUCUAAGUGGAGUUUAACCACCAUAGACUAACUUGAAAUUUAAAAUUGCUUCGAAACCUUCUGUAGUAUAAACUAAAAUCCAUUGAUCAAGCAAAAUAUUUUUAAUAUCCAUGUGUAAAGGAUAAUAUAUUCUGUAGGUUUCAGGUUAAUUUUAACAAUGAGAAAGUGUUUUAUAAACAUAUGUACCCUGUUUAUAGUUUAUAUAUUGAUUGUAUUUAUGUAACAAGUUAACUAGCAGGUUGUGUUAUAUUUUUAACUUUGUUUGGUUACAUAUUAGCAUUGUGGAAAUAAUACCAUCAAAAUAUAAUACCUGUCAUUUAGAGAGCUAUUUCCUUUGGCAUUUUACCUCUUAUGUACUAAAUACAUACUCAGAUUCAUGUCAGCAAUUGAUUCUGAAAGAUACUGGUAAAUUAGAUCAUUGAACUUCUAUUUCUGCCAGAGAAAAACAUCACACAUCUAUACAACUAGAAUAGAAUGCUGUGGUAUCACAUUAUAUCACUAAUAGAAAUGUUCCUAAAAACAAGGAUAUAGUGGACCAUUUCAUUUUUUUUUAAAAUAAAAUUCCUUGUCGGGGUAAGCGGGGGUGGUGGGAGGUGGAUAUUGUGUUUGUUAGGUGUUU